GUCGAGUGGUAAAGGGCAAAGUGGAG
rnacentral:piRNA from 1 species